rnacentral:rRNA from 1 species
UAGGCCUUCAAAUAAU